UCAGCCGCCGCCGUAACACCGGCAGCYCAAGUGGUGGCCRUUUUUAUUGGGCCUAAAGCGUUCGUAGCCGGCYUGAUAAGUCUCUGGUGAAAUCCCRCAGCUUAACUGUGGGAAUUGCUGGAGAUACUAUCAGGCUUGAGGYCGGGAGAGGYURGAGGUACUCCCAGGGUAGGGGUGAAAUCCUAUAAUCCUGGGAGGACCACCUGUGGCGAAGGCGUCYARCUGGAACGRACCUGACGGUGAGUAACGAAAGCCAGGGGCGCGAACCGGAUUAGAUACCCGGGUAGUCCUGGCCGUAAACGAUGUGGACUUGGUGUUGGGAUGGCYYCGAGCUGCCCCAGUGCCGAAGGGAAGCUGUUAAGUCCACCG
rnacentral:rRNA from 1 species